GCCGCUGAGCCGGCUGGGGUGGGCCUCGCGCUCGGCACACCUGGGGCAGGCUCCGCCCCCCGGGGCCCAGGUGCCCGCCGGCGGCCGCCGCUGCCGCAUCAAAGCUCACGGCUCGCGGGCUCUGCCUGCUCCUAGGCAGGCGUUCCGGAUCCCCGGUUCCUCCAGUUUGGGGUGCAAAGGAAUGGGGGAGCCCUGCUCUUCAGAGAGCACUAACUGUCCUCUGGGACCUGCCCUCAGCCCUGAAUCCCCUCCCUCGCCCUCCCUCGCCCCCUGCUCGCGUGGUGGUGGGCACCCUCCUCCUCACAGUCACCUCCACGUGUGCAGGUACCGCGAAGUAACAGUCAAGGUCUCAAACCGCUAGGGCUGAGAGUUCUAGGAGAACCUUCGGGAGUCAGCUGUCCCCUGUGGGGGCGGAGGGAGGCAGGAAUGAAUGCCAACUUGCCAGUAAACGCUUUCACCCACUGAGCGGAAUAUCGACGGCACCUGGAAUUUAAGCUUUGUACUUUCCAUCUUUGCAACAUCAUCAUCAAACUUUGAAGAGAUCAAAUGCAGUCUUCAGGCUUGGCAGCAAGCACCUUUAACCCCGGAGCCAUAUAACCGGCACCUCAACCACCACUGAGGCCCAGGGAACAUCACAAAAGAAGCAGAGGAAAGAAUUAUGAGAUCCAGGGGAUGGGGAAGAGUACUGUGAAACACUGUCUUCUAAACAGGACAUGGCCAUCACCCUCGUGAACUCAGACCGGCUGUGGCCAUGCCUGUGCGUGGUCAAGCCAGGAUGGUGCAGCGCGGAUGGUGCAGGGACGAGGGAGGCGAGGUCACUACUGCGGAAGUCACAGCAGCAAGGAAAGAGAACCAGCCUCGGAGCUCACCAACAGAUGAGUGGAUAAUGACGAUGUGACACUUACGUACAAUGGAAUUUUACUCAGCUAGAAAGAAACCAACAAAACGAUGAAAUCUGUCAGAAAUGGAUAGACCUAAAAAAGUAUGAAAGACAGAAAGUCUCAGAAAGACAGAAA